UACGAAGGGGGCUAGCGUUGCUCGGAAUCACUGGGCGUAAAGCGCACGUAGGCGGAUCUUUAAGUCAGGGGUGAAAUCCCAAGGCUCAACCUUGGAACUGCCUUUGAUACUGGGGAUCUCGAGUCCGGAAGAGGUUGGUGGAACUGCGAGUGUAGAGGUGAAAUUCGUAGAUAUUCGGAAGAACACCAGUGGCGAAGGCGACUCACUGGACACGUAUUGACGCUGAGGUGCGAAAGCGUGGGGAGCAAACAGG
rnacentral:rRNA from 1 species